AUUGAACGCUGGCGGCAGGCCUAACACAUGCAAGUCGAACGGUAGCACAGAGAGCUUGCUCUCGGGUGACGAGUGGCGGACGGGUGAGUAAUGUCUGGGAAACUGCCUGAUGGAGGGGGAUAACUACUGGAAACGGUAGCUAAUACCGCAUAAUGUCGCAAGACCAAAAGGGGGGGGGACCCUUCGGGCCUCUUGCCAUCAGAUGUGCCCAGAUGGGAUUAG
rnacentral:rRNA from 1 species